rnacentral:lncRNA from 1 species
AGGGUUAUUACUGGAAAGACAAAAAAUUUAGCUAGCUCACUGCCUCUUCAUCGUUGCCUCUGGUGAUUGAAGAAGGAAAGUAUCGCUGCAAAUAUGAAUGGGUUUAUUGCUGAAGUUAAACUAGCAUUGACCGUCUCUUGUAUGUUUGAAUUCUACUGUGAGUUCCCUUUAAACUUCAACAACAUCAAUCCCCAAUUUUAUGAGUUAGUCUUGAUUUAGAACAAUGAUUAAAUGCCUCAAGCCCAUAUGUAUUGGUCAGAAAUCUAAAUUUCCAGCUUCUAAGGUCCAUCUGGGCAUCUAUUUUCUUUUCAUUCCGCCAUUCUUCAAAUGAUUUCAGUUGUUUAAAUAAGAGCAUUUAAAAAUCAAAACCCUAAAGAUUUUGAUCCGUCAAAAUGGCACUUUUUUCAGAAAAUUAUAAUGGGUUUCGAGAAGAAUUGCGACACUUGUUGCGACUCCUUGAUGAAUUUAUGUU